CCCUUAGAUGUUCUGGGCCGCACGCGCGCUACACUGUUCGACGCAGCGAGUCUUAACCUUGACCGAAAGGUUUGGGUAAUCUUCAGCAAAGUCGAACGUGAUGGGGAUCGAUCAUUGCAAUUAUUGAUCGUGAACGAGGAAUUCCUAGUAAGUGCAAGUCAUCAGCUUGCGCUGAUUACGUCCCUGCCCUUUGUACACACCGCCCGUCGCUACUACCGAUUGAACGUUUUAGUGAGCUCCUCGGAUUGUCAGCCUGGCGGUUAAUCCUGCCUGGCUAGCGAAAAGACGAGCAAACUUGAGCGUUUAGAGGAAGUAAAAGUCGUAACA
rnacentral:rRNA from 1 species